ACGAACGCUGGCGGCGUGCUUAACACAUGCAAGUCGAACGGUGAAGGGACCAGCUUGCUGGUUCUGGAUGAGUGGCGAACGGGUGAGUAACACGUGAGUAACCUGCCCCCUUCUUCUGGAUAACCGCAUGAAAGUGUGGCUAAUACGGGAUAUUCUGCGCCUGCUGCAUGGUGGGUGUGGGAAAGAUAUUGUUUCGGUGGGGGAUGGGCUCGCGGCCUAUCAGCUUGUUGGUGGGGUGAUGGCCUACCAAGGCGGUGACGGGUAGCCGGCCUGAGAGGGUGGACGGUCACACUGGGACUGAGACACGGCCCAGACUCCUACGGGAGGCAGCAGUGGGGAAUAUUGCACAAUGGGCGCAAGCCUGAUGCAGCGACGCCGCGUGAGGGAUGGAGGCCUUCGGGUUGUGAACCUCUUUCGCCAGUGAAGCAGGCCUGCCCCUUGUGGGUGGGUUGACGGUAGCUGGAUAAGAAGCGCCGGCUAACUACGUG
rnacentral:rRNA from 1 species